rnacentral:lncRNA from 1 species
GAAACUCUGUGCUCCUCCCCACCUGCCUUGCCCUAUGCAUCUCCUCAUCUGGCUGCUCAUCUGCAUCCUUUAUUAAUACAACAAACCAGUAAAUGGUCUCUGUCGCCCAGGCUGGAGUGCAGUGGUGCAACCAUGGCUCACACAGCCUCAACCUCCUGAGCUCAGGUGAUUCUCCCAACUCAGCCUCCAGAGCAGCUGGGACUACAGGUAAAGCACCUCAUCUGAGAAACAGUGAAGUCAGGUCCUCUAUGGGGAAAUGACACAUGCUCUCAGGCUGACCCUCUGAGACCUGGUUAAGAAGUGCCAGACCUCAAGGAGACAGGACAGGCUCUGAUGCAGAGAAGCUUGUCCCCAGUGCUCCAUCCACGAAGGGAGCAAGUUGCUCCCCAUUCAUGACUCAAAACACCCUGGAGGAAGAUUAUGUUUACUGGUUCUAUAGUAAACUUCCACCUUGUGAAAUGACUUCGGAUGUUUGUUAAUACUGAGUGGAGGAAGAAGAGAAUCACCACAUAUCGUAUUUAGAGGUCCUGCAGAAAGGGCAGAGCGAGUUUCAUGUUUGAGUGCAGCGGAUGCAUGGGCAAAGCAUUACACAGCCGCUCCAUGGAAGUGACAAUGAGCCUUGUCUUUCACACGUAACUCCAGGAACCAGGGGAAACAAAACCAAUUCCACCCAGAGGUAAAUAAAAAUCAAAGAGCGUUCGAGGCAGCCGCAUUGACUCACCUUGCAGACAAGCAAGCAGAGCCGCAGAGCAGUGACCCGUGCCCAGCGCCUCGCAGCUAGAGCUGGAUUGGAAUCCAGGGCUUUGCAGGCUUCCUGCUUCACUCAAUCCUCUUUCUGUUGCCUCUGGCCUCAAGGUGUUGGCCUGGGAGGAAGUAGCAGAUUAAAUUCCAUGGGCACGAAGUCCGUAGCUGACGAAUACUUAAUAUGUUGCAGUUUCACAGUGAAAGUUGGCAAGUCCAGGGUGGGAACAUGCCCCAAGCAGCUGAGUCUUCUGGAUUUUA